AAGGAGACGUGCACCGCCAACACGUGGGGGGGGCUGUAAGCUGGAGGAGCGCACAGCAAAGGUGUUAGUGCAAAGUGCAUUGAACCGGGUCCUGGGUUCUUGUCUCUGCACUUCCAUGAAGCUUUUUGUCUUCGUCCUGCCCUCUGGCUGUGUUUUGUGCGGAGCUGGCGUGAUUUGUGAGGCGGGUGUCAGCCUCCCCCUGCCUUCUGACCUCCGGAAAUCCUGCUGCGCGGGAGAGAACCUGUCAUCUCGUGUUUGCAAGCACUUUUCAAUUUAAUACAUUUUAAUCAGAAAAUUAAUCAGGAAACACCAGUUCAGCAAGAUAAUUGAACAAUGAAGAGACACGAUAAUUACUGUUUAGUCUAAUUAACUUUGUUAAGUCUUUAUUGGGAACAGAGACUUCCUGAGUGAAACUUAUUAAAUGGUUCUCCCUGGAAAACAGAAUCCCCAUCAAGAAGCCUUUGUUACUCGUACUGCUUGGUAGGAGUUGGGUGCCUGUCUUUAAAUCACGAUUAGGGAAGCCUACAGGUGGGUUUUGGGCAAGCUGUAAAUUACUUUUCAGUCUGCUCUCCUCCAUCUUCAGUUCACUUACAUCUCUUAUUCCUUGCUGUCCUCCCCUCUUCUUCCCAGGUCGGCAGGAUUGGAUUGCUGCCUCCGUGGCACUGCAGCAAGGGCGGGCAUGGUCGGAGCCGUGGCGGUUCUGCUUCUUGUUAACUUGGAAUAAUGACAGAUGGCUCUGGCUCAUCCAGAGGUUCGCAUACGAAGCCAUUCAGGGAAACCGCAGUGGAAACCUAAUGCCGAAAUCAGCCCUCAAAAUCGAAUUAACCUUUAGGAAGAUCUUACAAGUAAGUGGCUUGUACCCUUCGAGGUAUUCUGUGAAUCAUUGGCAACAUGACUGGGCUAAUUUAAGCAUUUGUCGCAAAGGUAAGCUAGAGUCAAAUACAGUUCCCAAUUAGACAUGUGCAGGGGAACGGGCAGGUAAACCUGCUCAGGUCUCUCCAGGGUGGCACUUCUGUGAGAGCCGGUUCUGGUCUGCCUUUCCGUUUUUGAUUUUCCCGUGCUGCAGCUGGGUGCUGCUCUGAUGGGGACAGCCCCAGCUCCGCCGAGACUGGGGAUGUGGGUCUGGCCCCGCAGGGAUGUUUGAGUUGGCCUGCAGUGUGCCAUUCCCCUUUGUCUAGAAAAUCUCUGCACUUAAUUUGCUCUCUUUUUAGAACCUGGACUUGUUUCUAAAAAUAGAGCUUUAUUCUUCACUUUCACUUCCUAAAGGACAAUGACAAAAGAGAGGGAGAGAGGGAGAAAAUGCCAUAAACUGGGACAUUUUGUUACCACAUUCAAUGCACAUCUGGGAGCUCUUUUGGUACAUAAUUGCUGCAUAAUGCUGUUCACAAGCUAUAGCCUUGUACACAUCCUAUUGGAAGCUGUCAUUACAAUGCUGUAGUCCCUGUUUUGGAAAUUGAGUGUGACCUGUUGGUUGGGUAUAUGACUCACAGAGUAGAAAACUCUCUGCUCUUCACUCCAUGAGGUCUUGGUCAGGCCACUGCUGUGCGAGUUUUUGCAGCUCUGGAAGCCUCACUGCUCCCAAAUCCACUGCUGAGCAGAGGGAAGUGGGCAGUUUAAGUCCUAAAGAUGCUUCCCUGCCUUUCCUUGGGAUUAUGUAGGUUUUAAUCAUCUAGUUAACUAAUUCCAAAAUGUUGGGGUCCUCAUCCAAAAGGCACUAAAGUCACACCACGAUACUGGGGAUAACUUCAUGUGGUGUCUGCUCUCCUUACCAGUGGCUGGAGACGCAGUGCAUUUUGGACAUCUGGUGUCUGAUGAUGGAUGAAUGCAAGUUUAAAGCAAAGAUGAACUGGUAAACUUCUACCACUGUCUUAACUUGGAAAUCAUGUCUGGCCAUGCCACAUGGCGAAGAUGAUAAAUUGCUCUGAAUGUGUGAUCUGGAGCUAUCAAAUUUCCUCC
rnacentral:lncRNA from 1 species